UAGGGAAUCUUCGGCAAUGGACGAAAGUCUGACCGAGCAACGCCGCGUGAGUGAAGAAGGUUUUCGGAUCGUAAAACUCUGUUGUUAGAGAAGAACAAGGACGUUAGUAACUGAACGUCCCCUGACGGUAUCUAACCAGAAAGCCACGGCUAACUACGUGCCAGCAGUCGCGGUAAUACGUAGGUGGCAAGCGUUGUCCGGCUUUAUUGGGCGUAAAGCGAGCGCAGGCGGUUUCUUAAGUCUGAUGUGAAAGCCCCCGGCUCAACCGGGGAGGGUCAGUGGAAACUGGGAGACUUGAGUGCAGAAGAGGAGAGUGGAAUUCCAUGUGUAGCGAUGAAAUGCGUAGAUAUAUGGAGGAACACCAGUGGCGAAGGCGGCUCUCUGGUCUGUAACUGACGCUGAGGCUCGAAAGCGUGGGGAGCAAACAGG
rnacentral:rRNA from 1 species